GAACAAUAUAAAAAGUCGUUGCUGGAAGGCGAGGUGGUUAAUGAAAACACUUGGAUGCUGUAUGACGAGUUAUUUAAGACAUUGGAAAAAGAGAGAGAAGCUGAACUAACAAGCGACUUGGCUUCUGCUUCAGAGUGUGAAACAAAUGAGUCUCUACGGCCUAAACGAAAAAGACCUAGAAAAUUAUUAGACAGCGACAGUUGAGGAUGAAUAUCAGUUUGUCAGACCACAGAAAAUCCAAUUAAAAAAACUAUCAGGUAAAGUUACUUUAAACCUUUUACCUGUUUAUUUUAAAUAUUUAAUAAACGUGUGAGCAUCA
rnacentral:lncRNA from 1 species